GAGGAAUAUUGGGCAAUGCCCGCAAGGGUGACCCAGCAACGCCGCGUGGAGGAUGAAUGUCGUAAGAUUGUAAACUCCUGUUAGAGGGGAAGAAUAGUACCGGUUGGACCGGUAUAUGACUGUACCCUCAGAGAAAGCCCCGGCUAACUACGUGCCAGCAGCCGCGGUAAUACGUAGGGGGCAAGCGUUGUCCGGAUUUACUGGGUGUAAAGGGCGCGCAGGCGGGAGAAAAAGUCAGUGGUGAAAUCCUACAGCUUAACUGUAGAACUGCCUUUGAUACUUUUAUUCUUGAGUUCGGGAGAGAGAGACGGAAUUCCAGGUGUAGUGGUGAAAUACGUAGAUAUCUGGAAGAACACCUGUUGCGAAGGCGGUCUCUUGGUCCGACACUGACGCUGAGGCGCGAAAGCGUGGGGA
rnacentral:rRNA from 1 species